UACGUAGGUGGCAAGCGUUGUCCGGAUUUACUGGGCGUAAAGAGCGCGCAGGCGGUCGGAUAAGUCGAAUGUGAAAGCCCCCGGCUCAACUGGGGAGGGUCAUUCGAUACUGUUCGACUCGAAGGCAGGAGAGGGAAGUGGAAUUCCCGGUGUAGUGGUGAAGUGCGUAGAUAUCGGGAGGAACACCAGUGGCGAAGGCGACUUCCUGGCCUGUUCUUGACGCUGAGGCGCGAAAGCUAGGGGAGCAAACGGG
rnacentral:rRNA from 1 species